rnacentral:rRNA from 1 species
UACGUAGGGGGCAAGCGUUGUCCGGAUUUAUUGGGCGUAAAGAGCGUGUAGGCGGCCAGGUAGGUCGGUUGUGAAAACUAGAGGCUCAACCUCUAGACGUCGACCGAAACCAUCUGGCUAGAGUCCGGAAGAGGAGAGUGGGAUUCCUGGUGUAGCGGUGAAAUGCGCAGAUAUCAGGAAGAACACCCGUGGCGAAGGCGGCUCUCUGGGACGGUACUGACGCUGAGACGCGAAAGCGUGGGGAGCGAACAGG